rnacentral:rRNA from 1 species
GGGUCAGUAGGUUGGUCGUGCCACCGGUACGUACUGGUCUCACUGAUUCCUCCUUCCUGAAGAACCGUAAUGCCAUUAAUUUGGUGUUGCGGGGAAACAGGACUGUUGCUUUGAAAAAAUUAGAGUGUUUAAAGCAAGCUAACGCUUGAAUACAUUAGCAUGGAAUAAUGAAAUAGGACGAUCGAUCCUAUUUUUUUGGUUUCUAGGAUUGACGUA